CAGGAGUCAGGCGGGGGUGGGUGAGUCCUGGAGUUUUAUCCAAUCAUUGACACUGAUGUGGGAACCGCCCUAUCAGGCGCGCGGUGGCAGAGGAGAGGAAAGGAGGGCGUGGCUUCCUGCAUUUGGCGGCGUCUUUGUCUCUCGCUGGCGCUGGCACAGGACCUUGGGAUCUGUCUCUUUCGCCUCCUGCACCUUGGGAGCCCCGGGCUACUCUCUCACAGCCCUUGUUGCCCUGCGAUCUGUAGGUCCUUGGGGACGCAUAGUUAAGGUGCCAGGACAUCCUGGAAGCUGGGAAAUGUUAGCAUUUCAUCAUAUCAGUGUGAAGAUUUCUUCCAGCCCAUGGCUGGAGAAGGAAAGAAGGUGUGUUUUGCCUGAUUCAGGGGCUAUAGAGAGAACCAAGUUCUGCAGGCCUGUCACCUAA
rnacentral:lncRNA from 1 species